UAACGCUGCCAGUUGCAGCCCGAGCGAUAACCACGUUAAGGUGUCCAUUGAGUUUAAUGCGUUUUCAUUUCCUCACGUGAGAUCUGAAACAAACAACACGGAAUGUUAUAUGGGUAAAUGACUUGUUAUGUAACAUAGCAACAGGUCUUAUGGUGUAAAACAUUUACUUCGAAACGUGACUUUAAGCCUGAAUUAUGGCUUGUCUUCUUAGAUUAUAUUUAUUUUUCUUUAAUGUUUUUCUUUUCUUUUUGCCUACCUAUUUUUUUUCCGUACUUAUGCUGAUAGCCUUGAGAGGCUAUAUCAGCUUCUCCUUGGCGUGUAGGGGAUCUCACGGGGUUCAAACUAGGUGUGUUGCUAACACUGGCCCUAGCAAGAGCAGUGCUUCGCAGAAUCUACCACCGGAUCGGAAACGCGACCCACUGAGAAGAUCCGGCGAGAAACUCAGUGGGCUGUGUCUAUGGGUUAAUUCACUCAUCGAGCCUUUCGUCGCAAGCGACGGGUUCGACUAGGACGGUAACCGGACCUACCUAUACCAGUCACCUCUGGGGCUUGUCUUAGCUUCAGCGAUCGUAUAGACGACCUCACGGGACUCAGCCUGGUGACUUUCUAACACUAGCCUUAGUAAGGUCUGUACUUCGCUGAAUCUACCACCGGAUCGGAAUCGCGACCCACUGAGAAGAUCCGGCCAGGAACUCAGUGGGAUUUAAUGUUAUUGGUAAUUGUCAUUUAAACCGCUCUAAAUUUGGUAGAAGAGCUUAUUGCCCAUCUAGUAUUGAAUGGUUCCAGAGAUCGUAGUAAUCACAAUGUUGGUAGUGUUAUUAACCACCUUGAGAUAUGAUAACAGAAUUAACUGGAUUAUUUAACGACUAUCCUUCUUUUCUAACAGAAGUGCAUGGCUGCAUCGCUGCAGGAAUCGACAAAACACUGGUACCUACUCGUGUGUAUGUACCCGUACAGUAGUAAUGUUUCAAAGCUCCAAGCGUCUAUUAUAAUCGUUUCAGUAUUGGUUCGUUAAGUAUAAAAUUUAAUAAUAAUAUAUAAUAAUACUAAUAUUUAACUUAUUACUAAUACAGAAAUACGUUUAUGUUAUAUAAUAGUUCAAUAGUUAAAUACUUUUUUAUAUAUUCUCGUAGAAUCAAUUAGUAUAUUGCUGUAGGAAGGAUGUGGGUUGGAUGCGCCCGUAUCACAAUGGCGAUCAACAUGGUAAUUAUAAUUUAGUUGUAUUCGACGAUCGGCUCUCGCCUACACGUAUGUAGAAUUACAACGAAUAUUGAGUGAUCUUGAUUUUUUCGGUCUAGAUGCUCACUUUCUUCUAGAACCUAGACAAUUGCGAGUAAACACCAUAACAUGUUGCAAGAUAUGAGAUCGAAAAGUCAAUUGCAUUGAGAAUAUAGCUCCCCUAUCCAUUAAGCCGUAAUGCACGAUUCCUUUUCGGAAGAGGAACAGGAAAAGGUUCGAAAAUAAGACCGCUUAUGCAUUAGGUAUUUCAAGGAUAACCUAGUAGGUAUGCUCAGAUGUGUGAGGGCGGGAACGGAGGAGGGAUUUACCAACAACUAAACUCCGAAGGAUGCCUAUUAGCUCAAAGAGAGAUCCAUCUGUCAGAAGAUUGAACAAAAAUUCAGGAGGAUGAUGCUAUGGACUGAGUUUCGCGACGAACUCUCGGACGAGUAUUGUACCUUUGUUCCGGUUGCUGCUGGCGUCAAAACUAAUAACGUCCAAAACAGCACAGAGAAUGGAUCAAACACAAAUGUUCACGAUUGACUUCUACGGUGAAGAAAUAACAUCGUUUACGAAAAAUCAAACCCGCAAAAUUAUAAUUUGCCUAAUUACUGGUGGUAGGACCUCUUGUGAGUCCGCACGGGUUGGUACCACCACCCUGCCUUUUUCUGCCGUGAAGCAGUAAUGCGUUUCGGUUCGAAGGGUGGGGCAGCCGUUGUAGCUAUACUGAGACCUUAGAUCUUAUAUCACAAGGUGGGUGGCGCAUUUACGUUGUAGAUGUCUAUGGGCUCCAGUAAACACUUAACAACCAUGUGGCUGUGAGCUCAUCCACCCAUUUAAGCAAUAAAAAAAGUUAAACUUUGAAAGAUGCUUAUUAGCACAAGGAGAGAUCCAUCUAUCAAAAGAUUGAACAAACAUUCAGCAGGAUGAUGGUAUGGACUGAGUUUCGCGACGAACUCUUGGACGAGUACUGUACCUUUGCGCCGGUAGCGUCAGAACUAAUAACGUUCAACAGCACCGAGAAUAGAUCAAACGGAUCUAUAAAAUUUCAACUACAAUGCGCAUUAUGUUACGAGAGCUUGUAAUAUGAGAAAGAAACAAACCGACUACUGCACGUAAUGUAUAUGUAGGCAUUAUGUCAUUAAAUAAAACACCGGUCAGUACUCAAAGUGAUGUCUAGUGCAUAACGCUGCUAUUACAAAAUGAAAGUCCUUCUCUAAGUGAUCUUUUUGUCGGUUCCGGAUGUAAGAGAUCCCAUUCCACGACGCCCUUCAUGCGGCCAAUGAUCGGAGGCGCUGGCGGGACAUCACAAGGAGUAAAAUCAUGUCGAAUUAUAAUGGUCACGACCCUCAGCA